rnacentral:rRNA from 1 species
GACCCCAGGUCAGGCGGGACUACCCGCUGAGUUUAAGCAUAUCAAUAAGCGGAGGAAAAGAAACUUACAAAGAUUCCCCUAGAAACGGCGA